AUAGGAACUGGAGCAGCAAACCAUGUAGACAGAAGAAAAGCUAAAGGACUACAUGUUGAAGUAGUAAUAGUUACUGCAGUACUGCACACACUGCAUCUGAUUUGACUUGUUGUAUGGUAAAUUGCCCGUCCACGCAGGAAGCAUAGCUGAUGAACUCAUGGAAGAAAUAAAGAAGGAAGUUGAAGAAUAAUGCUGCUCCAAAGUAUUCAUAUAUGGUUCCAACUUUGUAAAAAUGGGGCAUGCUUGUUUUAUGUUAUACAAGAGAAACCUGAGAAUAUGGUAUUAUUUGUUUGUAUAUUUUGUUCUGACAUAUAUGUGACUGGACGACCGGUGCAGCACUCCUCAAUCUGCUCUCAAGAUUAUAGAAACUGAACAACGAGAAAUGAAGAUAUAACAAUUGUUUUUGAAACAUUUGUUGAAUCUACACUAUUGUACAACCAACAUUUGUCCUUGACUACCCAGUUGAGAUAUCACCAUUGGCAAAACCACAUCGGAGCAUCAUAGUACAGCUGUCACGUCCCUGAGGAUGUAGCUGUGGGAGCUCGCUGGCCACCGGUUUCCUGCCCGUGGUGGAUGGUGGCAAGGUAGAUAGCAGGGAGAUGAGAUAACAGAGAAAGGAGGUGAAAAUGGGAUUGGCUGUAAUUGCUUGUUUAUUGCUGAACCAGACCUUCCUGAUUGAUCCCAAAUACCCCUCCUUUUGCCUAAUUAGCCCCUGUUACGAGCGCCUAUAAAUGUUCCCGACCGUAACAAUAGCUCAAGGUUACACCUGGAAACUGGGGAGAAAAGGAAGAUGUAAUUCAGUCUGAGAUUUAUAAUAUGUUAUUUAGGUGAUCAUUAAGAUAGAUGGAAAUCACAACUUGCUUGUCAGAUCAUUUCAAA